rnacentral:rRNA from 1 species
UACGUAGGGGGCUAGCGUUGUCCGGAAUCAUUGGGCGUAAAGAGCGUGUAGGCGGCCCGGUAAGCGUGCGGUGAAAGCUCGGGGCUCAACCCCGAGUCGGCCGUGCGAACUGCUGGGCUUGAGCACUGUAGAGGCAGGCGGAAUUCCGGGUGUAGCGGUGGAAUGCGUAGAGAUCCGGAAGAACACCGGUGGCGAAGGCGGCCUGCUGGGCAGUAGCUGACACUGAGGCGCGACAGCGUGGGGAGCAAACAGG